rnacentral:rRNA from 1 species
GACGAACGCUGGCGGCGUGCUUAACACAUGCAAGUCGAACGGAAAGGCCCUGCUUUUGUGGGGUGCUCGAGUGGCGAACGGGUGAGUAACACGUGAGUAACCUGCCCUUGACUUUGGGAUAACUUCAGGAAACUGGGGCUAAUACCGGAUAGGAGCUCCUGCUGCAUGGUGGGGGUUGGAAAGUUUCGGCGGUUGGGGAUGGACUCGCGGCUUAUCAGCUUGUUGGUGGGGUAGUGGCUUACCAAGGCUUUGACGGGUAGCCGGCCUGAGAGGGUGACCGGCCACAUUGGGACUGAGAUACGGCCCAGACGCCUACGGGAGGCAGCAGUGGGGAAUAUUGCACAAUGGGCGGAAGCCUGAGGCAGCAACGCCGCGUGCGGGAUGACGGCCUUCGGGGUGUAAACCGCUUUCGCCUGUGACGAAGCGUGAGUGACGGUAAUGGGUAAAGAAGCACCGGCUAACUACGUG